rnacentral:rRNA from 1 species
AUGCAGAGAGGAGCAGGUCAUCGCGGUUGCGCCCGAUCCUCAACCCCCGCGUCUCUCCAUCGCGGCCUCUCCUCCCUACCUGCGCCUUCCUAUCGCGCCGCCGCCGUGCCAUGGUUGUUGCCCUCGCCGGAGCUUCCGCGAGCUGCCCCGUCACCCCGUACCUCGUCUGCCUCUGCCUCCGUCGUGCCGCCAGAGGAGCCCCUCUCCUCGCCCUUCCCCGCUCAUCCUCCGGCGCAUCAAGCUCGCAGCCUUUGCCUCCUGUCGCCUCCACUCGAUCGGGAGAGGAGUUCCCGAUCCUUGUGUUGCUCGUCCCCGUCGUUGUGGCCGGAGCUCGCCGGGGCCCGAGUACCAGUCGCCGUCGUUCUCGCUCUACCGACCAGCCGGCCCUGCUUCCUGUUGUGCCGCCUUCCUGUGCCUUGCUCGUUCAGGACGCUAGCCUGCCUGCUCUAUUUCUCCUGCUCGUGCCUAGCCGGAGCACCGUUACCGCUGGCCGGAGUCCCGCGGGAGCAGGAUCUCGCGUUGUCUCUGUCGUCCAGCGUCGCCUCCGCCGGAUCUCCUCGCUGUACGCCCCAUCCGGCUGUCGGACCUCGUCGACAGGACCUCAUGCCUGUGAUGUGUUGCUGUGGACGCAUGGAACCCUGGAAGCAAUCCCAAGCCUCAAAUACCAUGACACUACGAAGACCUGAACCGACAAGUACCAUGGCGUUCGUCAAUCAUCAAGUACCCUCGGAUACGUCAAGUUCAUCUACCGUCGCAAGAAUCGAGACCGACAAGUCCGAAGACCCCAAGUACCUCGACAACAUGUGUACCACUACCAUUAAACCUCGAAGACUGCGGAUUCGUCAAGUUCCUCGUUGUGACCGAAACAUCUACGGAAACUCAUGCAACGAUAAACAUGUACCACUACCGUCGUCGUGGAUCUGA